rnacentral:rRNA from 1 species
CCUACGGGUGGCAGCAGUGAGGAAUAUUGGUCAAUGGGCGGGAGCCUGAACCAGCCAAGUCGCGUGAGUGACGACGGUCCUAUGGAUUGUAAACCUCUGUCAGCAGGGAAGAACUGUCACUGUGCUAAUCCGCAGUGACUUGACGUUACCUGCCAAGGAAGCCCCGGCUACCUCCGUGCCAGCAGCCGAGGUAAUACGGAGGGUGCGAGCGUUAAUCGGAAUUACUGGGCGUAAAGCGCUCGUAGGCGGUAUGUCAAGUCAAGGGUGAAAGCCCCGCGCUCAACGUGGGAACUGCCGUUGAAACUGGCAGACUGGAGUGUGUGAGAGGAGAGUGGAAUGCCAGGUGUAGGAGUGAAAUCCGUAGAUAGCGGGAGGAACACCAGUGGCGAAGGCGACUAUCUGGAACGGAACUGACGCUGAGGAGCGAAAGCGUGGGUAGCAAACAGGAUUAGAUACCCGGGUAGUC